rnacentral:rRNA from 1 species
CCUACGGGAGGCAGCAGUGGGGAAUUUUGGACAUGGGGGCAACCCUGAUCCAGCCAUGCCGCGUGUCUGAAGAAGGCCUUCGGGUUGUAAAGGACUUUUGUUAGGGAGCAAGUCCUGCAGGUUAGAGCUAGUAGGGAUGAGAGUACCUAAAGAAUAAGCAUCGGCUAACUACUGCCAGCAGCCGCGGUAAU